GUAGUGUUUGUUUAAUUCAAUUUGCAAAUCCAAACUUUCCAGCUUUUCGUACAGGAAAACGGCUAGAUAAAAAACUGGACAGUUUGGAUUUGCAAAUUGAAUUAAACAACACUAC